AGUGAACGCUGGCGGUAGGCCUAACACAUGCAAGUCGAACGGCAGCACAGUAAGAGCUUGCUCUUACGGGUGGCGAGUGGCGGACGGGUGAGAAAUACAUCGGAAUCUACUUUUUCGUGGGGGAUAACGUAGGGAAACUUACGCUAAUACCGCAUACGACCUACGGGUGAAAGCAGGGGAUCUUCGGACCUUGCGCGAAUCAAUGAGCCGAUGUCGGAUUAGCUAGUUGGCGGGGUAAAGGCCCACCAAGGCGACGAUCCGUAGCUGGUCUGAGAGGAUGAUCAGCCACACUGGAACUGAGACACGGUCCAGACUCCUACGGGAGGCAGCAGUGGGGAAUAUUGGACAAUGGGCGCAAGCCUGAUCCAGCCAUACCGCGUGGGUGAAGAAGGCCUUCGGGUUGUAAAGCCCUUUUGUUGGGAAAGAAAAGCAGCAGGUUAAUACCCCGCUGUUCUGACGGUACCCAAAGAAUAAGCACCGGCUAACUUCGUG
rnacentral:rRNA from 1 species